rnacentral:tRNA from 1 species
GCCUGGGUGGCUCAGUGGUUUAAGCGUCUGACUUCAGCUCAGGUCAUGAUCUCAUGGUUCAUGGGUUCAAGCCCCACGUCGGGCU